rnacentral:lncRNA from 1 species
CGACUUCCCUUCGCCGCCCGCCUGGGUUCUCGCGACUGCACGUCUCCUGUUCACCCUACUUUCUGUCACGGACCUGACACGCGGACUUCUCGCCUCAGCCCCAGGGAAACUUACAGUAACGUUGCGUGUGCCCUUCUCUGGUCUGCCGAGACCCCAGACUCGGGUUCGCCCCCCAACCCCCGCCCGUGGCUGAGGAGCGCUCCUGGUCUCCCUCAAAGGCCUGGGCGCCGGGUGGGAACCGCAUGGGCUUUCCCAAUAAACUGCUCUCGGGCCGGUGGCAUCCACAGCGGACAGCCUGGGACAUCCCUCCUGCCCCUCCGGUCCCCUUUGGCUUGGGUCCUGCCUUGUGGGAAAUGUGCGUUUCCGAACUGCACUGGGUCAGCCAGGGCGGUUUCCCACGGUUACGGGUUUAGCUCUCCCUGUGCCCCUAGGAUGAAAUGCAUUUGCCCAUUCACCAUAUGCUUCCACACUUGCUGGGUGCCAAACGCUGUGCUAAGCUUGCGUGUCAGUGCACCUGGAAGCAAAUUUUGCAAAGAACUAGUUCUCGUGACGUGAGGUUGGAUGCUGCUAAUAUAUUGAAGGUCAGGGAAGGCUUAACAGUUUUUAAAAAUCCAUUUGUCUUUAUGUCUUUGUGUGUGAGUACCUGGAGCUGGAGUUAUAGUAGGCCACCUGGAUGUUUGCUUGGAUUCUCUGGAAGAGUGACAAGCACUCUUAACCUCUGAGCCAUCUCUCUGGCUCCAUGAAAAGUCUUUCUUGAGUACAAGAUGUUCCAUAUGAGUAGAUGCUGUCUAUAGGAAGGCAGAGGUUUCACCACAGAGGCUGGAUAGGCCUCAGAGUGGACUAGGAUUGUCUCCUUGGAGAUUGUUAUGAAUGAAAUGGAAAUAAUUAGGGGUGUCAACUCUGGUAGUGUCUAGGGAGUCAGUUUUGCUUUCAACAUUUAGAAUUUAAGGGCUGACGAGAUGGUGGUAGUUAAAAUGCUUGUUGCCCAAGAGUGAGGACCUGGCUCCCCAUCUUCAGUACUCAUGUAAAAAAGCCAGAUGUACUGUUGUGUGCCUGAAAGCACAGGACUUCGGACUGGACACAGGUGGAUUCCUGGGGUGUAUUGGCAGCCACGCACUGAAACGGGCUUUAAGGUUUUGUGAGCUGCUCUGUACCAAAAAAUUAGGCAGAGCGACAAUAGGAAUGCUUUUAAUCCCAACUCCUGAGGGGUAGGUGGACAUCUGAAUUCAAGGUCAACCAGGGCUGUGCAAACUGAGACCCUGUCUUUUUUUUUUAAGUUGGUGAGUGAUGGCCUAUGUUUUUAGUCCUAGAACUUGGGACAUUGGAAAGUGCAGGUUGGUCUCAGUGAGUUUGAGGCCAGCCUGGUCUACAGAGUGAGUGCCAGGUGUUGGAAGGUAAAGGUGGGUCUCUGAGUUUGAGGCCAGCUUGGUCUACAAAGUGAGUUCCAGGGCUAUACAGAGAAACCCUGUCUUGAGAAAAUAAAAAACAAACAAGGGGGAGAAAAAAGAAAGAGAAGAUACCUGAUGUCAACCUCUGGCUUGCACAGUGCCUAUGCACAUACAUACAAAUUUAGUGUUUAAACAUAGCAUAGUGGCACAUGUUUGUGAUCUGCACUGGAGAGUCAGAGGGAGGAGGCUUGUUUCAAGUGGAAGCCAGUCUGGUCUACAUAGGAAGAAAAUGGGCUGGUGAGAUGGCUGAGCAGUUAAGAGUACUUGCUGUUCUUGCAGAGUACCUGAUAUCUAGCAUCCACUUGUCAGCUCACAAGCAUUUAUAACUCCCAGGCAGUCACAUGGUACACAGUCACCCACCCCCAAACCUUUUAAAAAAUAUAUUUAGAUAAAUGUAGAAUUUUUCCUGAGAACCCUUAGGAUACAAUUCUAGGGUUUGUUGUUGUUUUGUUUUGAGACAGGGUCUCAGUACAUAUCUGUGGUUGGACUUGAACUUACAGAGAUCUGUCUCCUUCUGCCUCACCAACUCUGGGGUUAAAGACCCAACUACGCCCCCCCCCUUUUUUUUUAAAUGAUAGUAGACACUUUUUUUUUUAAUCUUUGAGAACAGUAGUUCUCUCUUUCUCUCUUUUUAAAAAAGAUUUAUUUAUUAUUAUAUCUAAAUACACUGUAGCUGUCUUCAGAUGCACCAGAAGAGGGCAUCAGAUCUCAUUACGGAUGGUUGUGAGCUACCAUGUGGUUGCUGGGAUUUGAACUCAGGACCUUUGGAAGAGCAGUCGGUACUCUUAACCACUGAGACAUUUCUCCAGCCCUACAGCCCUAUUUUAAUGAAGCAGAGUCUCAUUAAGCCUGUGUUUGUCUGGAAAGCAUGUACCUCCUGCCUUAGACUGGAUGACUGCUGUGUGUGUACACACAUGGCACUGGCAUUUUUGCUCAAAGCCAGUGAUUUGUUUUGGUCAUCUUGCUGUCUGUGCACUUUCUCUAUGUCAGAAUGAUCUCCCUGUCCCCAAGGUCAUAUUAAAACU